rnacentral:misc_RNA from 1 species
AAGUCGUAACAAGGUUUCCGUAGGUGAACCUGCGGAAGGAUCAUUAGAGUAUUUACCCACUCUUUGUAUGCUCACUCUGGGUCGCCUUCUCGUCACUGAGAUGGCGUGGCCCGUAAGACUGGUGGACUUUGAGCCACCGGUCGCUUUUCUUGACACUUUAUUUCUUUUUAUGACUGAGACAAAAGUUAGCAUUAAUUGCUGAGACAACUUUUAGCAACGGAUCUCUAGGCUCUC